UACAGAGGGUGCAAGCGUUAAUCGGAAUUACUGGGCGUAAAGCGAGCGUAGUUGGUUAUUUAAGUCGGGUGUGAAAGCCCCGGGCUCAACCUGGGAAUUGCAUUCGAUACUGGAUAGCUAGAGUUCGGCAGAGGGAAGCGGAAUUCGGUCGGUGAGCGGUGAAAUGCGUAGAUAUCGGAGGGAACAUCAGUGGCGAAAGCGGCUUCCUGGACCAGAACUGACGAUCGAGGCUCGAAAGCGUGGGGAGCAA
rnacentral:rRNA from 1 species